UACGAAGGGUGCAAACGUUGCUCGGAAUUAUUGGGCGUAAAGCGCACGUAGGCGGUAUCGCAAGUCCCAUGUGAAAGCCCACGGCUUAACCGUGGAAGUGCAUGGGAAACUGCAGUACUUGAGUACCUAAGAGGAUCGCGGAAUUCCCGGUGUAGAGGUGAAAUUCGUAGAUAUCGGGAGGAACACCAGUGGCGAAGGCGUUCUGCUGGGCCGUUGCUGACACUGAGGCGCGACAGCGUGGGAGCAAACAGG
rnacentral:rRNA from 1 species